UAUAAGAUCAGACACAAGCUUAAUUGGACACACUCCUCUACUCACCUCAGAGAUUUGAAUCAGCCUUUCCACACAGUCGUUUCAAGUACAACCAUGCAACUGAAGAUUGUUUGUCUACUUCUGAUCGUAACUGUGGCCAUGACAUCCGCUUACAGGGGUCAGUACAACUCUUUGAGGAACUACGGGCAUUACGGUCGCUACGGCUACGACAUUGAGGUUCCCGACUUCCCCGACUUUGACAGCUACAUGUACAGAUAUCUGAUGACGAGAGGCCGUCGACAAGGCAGACAGAGCAGACAGAGCACGAACCGCUACAACAGUUUGAGGAAUCUUGCCAGACUUGAGGCUUAUAACCUUAUUUGAGCUAGAAUACAGAGGGUAUCAGAGGCCGUAGACGUUACAUACAUAUAGGCUGUUGAAGGGUUGUAGACUAAACCA